AAUAAAAUAAUUCAAUAGAUUUGAGUUUUUUUUGUAUACAUUAUUAGAUUAAUUCAAUAAUUUUAUUAUUUAUCACUUAACAUAGACAACUUGUACUUUAUUCUGUCGCCAGGUUUCGCUGAUUCACCGACUAAGAUGAAAAAUGGCUGACUUGAAGUGAUUUAAAUUUGAACUCUACAUUAGUCAAAAACUCAAACUUUUAAUUAAAAAUAAAUUGAGAUAAUUUAUCAGAGUUUAUUGAAUGUAAACGUGAGUGGUAAUGACUGGAUGUUGAAAUCGUGUUAUUCGUAUUCACUCUAAAAAUAUCAAGUCUAGUGCAAAAAAUUACAUUUACAGAACUGAUACCGGAGUAAAUGGUGAACUUGUCAUGCUCAAGACGAAUAGAUUUAUGAUGGUUAUUCGAAGAGUUUGAGCUGUCAGAGUAACGUCUUAAAUGUUAUGAUUUGCUAAAAUUAAACAUCAAUGACUCGUGGCGUGGAUACCCUCCGAUGCUUGACCUCCAGAGUAACAAGAAUCCUCACCAAAAUCGAAUAAUGUGGCGGAUCAAUUCGAAUAUAAACCAUUCACCAGUGAGCGAUGCACGAGAUUUCCAGAAGACUAGUUCAAGUUGAUCAAUUUGUAUAGUCUAAUGUUUUAUUUUUUCCUUUAAAAAGCAUGAAAAAUUGAUUAAAAUAAAACAGAAAUUUCACAUUA